rnacentral:rRNA from 1 species
UACGAAGGGGGGCUAGCGUUGCUCGGAAUCACUGGGCGUAAAGCGCACGUAGGCGGCUUUCUAAGUCAGGGGUGAAAUCCUGGAGCUCAACUCCAGAACUGCCUUUGAUACUGGAGAGCUUGAGUCCGGAAGAGGUGAGUGGAACUCCGAGUGUAGAGGUGAAAUUCGUAGAUAUUCGGAAGAACACCAGUGGCGAAGGCGGCUCACUGGUCCGGUACUGACGCUGAUGUGCGAAAAGCGUGGGGAGCAAACAGGG